rnacentral:rRNA from 1 species
AUUGAACGCUGGCGGCAGGCCUAACACAUGCAGGUCGAGCUGAGCGGCGGACGGGUGAGUAAUGCCUAGGACUCUGCCUGGUAGUGGGGGAUAACGUCCGGAAACGGGCGCUAAUACCGCAUACUAUAAGAUGAGCCUAGUGCUGAUUAGCUAGUUGGUGGGGCAAAGGCCUACCAAGGCUACGAUCCGUAACUGGUCUGAGAGGAUGAUCAGUCACACUGGAGCUGAGUCACGGUUCAGACUGCGACGUGAGGAAGCAGUGGGUAAUAUUGGACGAUGGGCGAAAUGCUGGUUCAGCCAUGCCGCGUGUGUGCUGAAGGUCUUAGGAUGGUAAUGCUCUUUAAGUUGGGAGGCGUUGCCAACAGAAUAGGCACCGGCUAAAUUGGUGCCAGCAGCCGCGGUAAUUC